rnacentral:rRNA from 1 species
UACGUAGGGGGCUAGCGUUGUCCGGAAUUAUUGGGCGUAAAGCGCGUGUAGGCGGCUUUGCAAGUCGGGUGUGAAAGCCCUCAGCUUAACUGAGGAAGUGCGCCCGAAACUGCUUGGCUUGAGUACCGGAGAGGAUGGUGGAAUUCCCGAAGUAGAGGUGAAAUUCGUAGAUAUCGGGAGGAACACCGGUGGCGAAGGCGACCAUCUGGACGGAUACUGACGCUGAGACGCGAAAGCGUGGGUAGCAAACAGG